CUCGGUGCCUCGAGCGAGGUGGUCACACCCGUUCCCAUCCCGAACACGGCAGUUAAGCACCUCAGCGCCGAUGGUACUUGGCGUAAACUAACGCCCGGGAGAGUAGGCCGGUGCCGAGU
rnacentral:rRNA from 1 species